rnacentral:rRNA from 1 species
UACUGAGUGGCAAACGGGUGAGUAUAAUGUGGGAAUCUGCCUUUUGGUUUGGAAUAACACGGGGAAACUUGUGCUAAUACCGAAUAAGCCCUUACGGGGAAAGUUUUAAUGCCGAAAGAUGAGCCCGCACUUGAUUAGCUAGUUGGUAAGGUAAAAGCUUACCAAGGCAACGAUCAAUAGCUGUUCUUAGAGGAAGACCAGCCACAUUGGGACUGAGACACGGCCCAGACUCCUACGGGAGGCAGCAGUGGGGAAUCUUGCACAAUGGGGGAAACCCUGAUGCAGCGAUGCCGCGUGAGUGAAGAAGGCCCUUGGGUUGUAAAACUCUUUCGUCGGGGAAGAAAAUGACUGUACCCGAAUAAGAAGGUCCGGCUAA